UGCAACGCGGUAGGCGAUUACACGCGGUCCAUACCCCGGCCGCCGGGACCGCGCCGAGCGACUGGCGAGACCGACCCGCGGGCA
rnacentral:ncRNA from 1 species